CGGCCCCGCCUGGAGUGGAGGGUGUAGUUUGAUUUGACUCAGCGAAAGUAAACCCGCCCGGACAGGAGAAGGAGAGGAUGGACAAACUGUCUUGCUCGUUCUUGAGGAGGGGGGUGGAGGUGCGUGGCUGUUUGUUGGAGGGGUAGGUAUUGGUCAGUCCAAUUCCGAACACGAAUGAGACUUUUGACUACUACUUAGCGGGCCCGGCCCUCAUGCGCCCUCUUAGAGGGACAAGGCGCUUUUCACACCGCGAAACAGACCAACUAGAUAGAGGAAAAGCCGGUCUGUGAUCCGCUCCGAAGUCCGGGGACACUGGAGGGCUACGCUGGUAUGAUCCUUACGCUAACCAACCGGCUCACAGAGGAGACUUCGACCGUGAGAACCACCUUCGUGAGCGAGAGUGAGCUUUGAAAAAUAGCUCACAGACAAGGAUUUCCCUCUGCGAGUGCUGCUUACGUUCAUGCCCAUUACAUCCCUGGCCCGUGUCUACUCCGCACGGAAUGACUACCUGUUGUAUGC
rnacentral:rRNA from 1 species